GACCAUGCUUUCUGUUGGCGGGAACCAAAAAACAGAGAGGGGAACCACGAAUUAUUGAGGGAGCACAAAUGAAAAAUAGAAGAGAGGGUUCUG